rnacentral:rRNA from 1 species
AGUGAACGCUGGCGGUAGGCCUAACACAUGCAAGUCGAACGGCAGCACAGUAAGAGCUUGCUCUUACGGGUGGCGAGUGGCGGACGGGUGAGGAAUACAUCGGAAUCUACUUUUUCGUGGGGGAUAACGUAGGGAAACUUACGCUAAUACCGCAUACGACCUACGGAUGAAAGCAGGGGAUCUUCGGACCUUGCGCGAUUGAAUGAGCCGAUGUCGGAUUAGCUAGUUGGCGGGGUAAAGGCCCACCAAGGCGACGAUCCGUAGCUGGUCUGAGAGGAUGAUCAGCCACACUGGAACUGAGACACGGUCCAGACUCCUACGGGAGGCAGCAGUGGGGAAUAUUGGGCAAUGGGCGCAAGCCUGAUCCAGCCAUACCGCGUGGGUGAAGAAGGCCUUCGGGUUGUAAAGCCCUUUUGUUGGGAAAGAAAAGCAGCAGGUUAAUACCCCGCUGUUCUGACGGUACCCAAAGAAUAAGCACCGGCUAACUUCGUG